rnacentral:rRNA from 1 species
UACGUAGGUCCCGAGCGUUGUCCGGAUUUAUUGGGCGUAAAGCGAGCGCAGGUGGUUUGUUAAGUCUGGUGUAAAAGGCAGUGGCUCAACCAUUGUAUGCAUUGGAAACUGGUAGACUUGAGUGCAGGAGAGGAGAGUGGAAUUCCAUGUGUAGCGGUGAAAUGCGUAGAUAUAUGGAGGAACACCGGUGGCGAAAGCGGCUCUCUGGCCUGUAACUGACACUGAGGCCCGAAAGCGUGGGGAGCAAACAGG